GAGGAAGUCUGUUCUGGAGGCACCAUGACAAAGCACCAGACAGAAAGCAGUCACGUGUGGGGAGAUGAGCAGAGACACCACUUCUCAAGCACCUGAUUAUUCUUUCUCAGUAUUUAGAAGCAAAAAUUAUCCUUAAGAAAAACAACCGCAAACGCAACACAGGCUACACAGAUGAGAAAAUGGGGUUCCCCAUCUUCGUUGAAGGCCCCACAUCAUUUGCCAUGAACUUGCAGAAUAUUUCAAGAGAGAAGGCUGAAAAGGAAGGUGACUGGAAUAUUAAGAACUGUGAGAUAUUCUGAGGAAACUCUAAUUUGUAAAUUGGUAGAAAUGCCAGUAAUUUGUUGGGAAUUGAAGACCCUCUGUAUUCAAGAGCGAAGCUUGGCAGCUGUGCACUGUUGUUUUAUAAAUCAAUAUUACAUCUG
ensembl:lncRNA novel transcript